rnacentral:rRNA from 1 species
UACGUAGGGUGCAAGCGUUGUCCGGAAUUAUUGGGCGUAAAGAGCUCGUAGGCGGUUUGUCGCGUCUGCUGUGAAAACCCGAGGCUCAACCUCGGGCCUGCAGUGGGUACGGGCAGACUAGAGUGCGGUAGGGGAGAUUGGAAUUCCUGGUGUAGCGGUGGAAUGCGCAGAUAUCAGGAGGAACACCAAUGGCGAAGGCGGGUCUCUGGGCAACAACUGACGCUGAGGAGCGAAAGCGUGGGGAGCGAACAGG